UCCGUAGGCGGGAAGAUAAGUCAGUGGUGAAAGCCUGUGGCUCAACCAUAGAAUUGCCAUUGAUACUGUCUUUCUUGAGUGCACAUGAUGUGGGCGGAAUGUGUCGUGUAGUGGUGAAAUGCUUAGAUAUGACACAGAACACCGAUUGCGAAGGCAGCUCACAAAAGUGUAACUGACGCUGAGGGACGAAAGCGUGGGGAGCGAACAGGAUUAGAUACCCUGGUAGUCC
rnacentral:rRNA from 1 species